rnacentral:snoRNA from 2 species
UGCAAAUGAUGAGUACAAAAAAAAUUUUUAACUUUCGUUCUUCUGUAUCGUUAGAGGUGAAGAUAAAUUUCGUGUCUGAUGCAA